AUUUGCUUCGGCUCGCUCGUCGGAUAGGUCGAGGCAAAUCUGAGUUGAUCCUGCCCUCGCUUCACAAGCAGGAUGUAGAGUCGUGAUCAGCCAGUAAGCUAAGAAAGGGGACAAUAUAACACGCAAGAAAACAAAAGAUAAGGAGGAGGAAAGCAGAAGCAUAUAUUUGAAAAUCAAUAACCGCACGUAAUGGUAAGAAUUAAAUAAAUUCAACAAUAUCAAAUGAAAAAAA